rnacentral:lncRNA from 1 species
UGCAGCUCUUGGUUCUUUGGGCCCCUGGAGUCCCCAAGGAGGAGGCUGGGCAGGCACAAUUCUCCCCAUUCUGCAAACAGCAAAGAUGAGGCUCAGCCAAGCCAGCAUUCAGGGCCAUGGCUGAGAGGCAUGUGGCCCUCUCUCCUCCCGCUCUCUUCUUUACCUCACUUCCGGGGCAAACUGUACCACCUGACGCUGCCGUAGCCGUCUGCCCUUUCCUCCCGGAUGGCCUUCCCAGCCGCCCUCUCCUCAGUUCCACCCAAGCCCUCAGAUACGGUGUCUCGGGGCAGCCAUCUUGGUGCACCCCGAGCCAGCCCUUCCUGCGUUCUGUGUCCUCCUGGAGGAUUUGUCAGGUUCCCCAGAGCUUCUAGGAGAGACGCCAAGUCCUGAACCUCAAAAGAGAUGAGAGAAUCACAGACCAGCGGCCCUCAAGUCCUCUUGGCCCCCCACAGUGCUGAGCACACUCUGCCUGGUGCUGAGGCUGCUGCUGGGGCUGGGCAUAGACACGGAAAAUAAUGUGAGAAACCUUCAAACACCAGUCCAGUCUCUACCCACAAAAUGGAAUAAGAACGGGACCAGUCAUGGAGGUUGUUUAGGGUUCAGGCUGAACCCCACCACUGCUUCUUUUCCUGGAGGUUUGGGGGGCCAGAGGCUGAUCUAACAUUCCGAGGCCAACCUGGCAAACACUUGCAUCCAGUUCUCUACUUUCUGCCCACAGCUUUGGCCGUCACCUGUUGUGCGGUGCGGACAGACACAGCCCGUGGGAGCACACCCCAGGGCCCCCCGGCUCCUCACUCACAUGGAAGUGAGCACCCACAAACCACUGUGGUGGAGACCCACCGGUUACAAGCAAGGAAACCCACUCUCACUCCUCAAAUAAAAGGGGAAUACUAUUACAAGGAUGCAAAAGACGAGUUCUCAGGUAUUGGGAAUGAAUUGAUUUUUCCUAAAAAGAUACGUUCAUGCCUGACCCCUAGUACCGUAGAUGUGGCCUCAUUUAGAGACAGGGUAUUUAUAGAGGGAAUGGAGUUGAAAUGAAGUCAUGAGUCUGGGUCCUAACCCAAGAAGCCUGGUGUCACACAAAGGGGAAAUUCAGACACAGGGACAGACAAGCAUGGAGGGAAGGUGGCCACAUGAAAACCGGGGCAGGAGUGAGACCUCGACCAGCCAGGGAACCUCAAAGACCCACAGGAAACUGUCAGGAGCCAGGGAGAAGUGAGGAAGCAUGCUUCCCCAGAGCGUCUGGGGAUAGCAUUGCCCUGCAAACACCUCGUCCCAGACUUUCAGCCUCUAGAACUGGGAGAAUAAGUCUGUCUUCUCGAAGCCACCCAGUUUGGGGUACUUUGCUCCAGCAGCCCCAGGAAACUCUUGCAACAGCUCACUGUGGACAGGAGCUGAAAGCAGCUGGUGCUCAGUUCGAGGCUGCAGUGAGCUAUGAUCAUGCCACUGUCCUCCGGCCUGGGUCACAGAGCUAGACCCUUUCUCAUAAAUAAAUAAAUAAAUAAAUAAAUAAAUAAAUAGAAGGGAUUUUUAAAAACUUACCAAUUCAAUUUCAGGGCAUCUGGAAAUGCCAGGGCUUCCCAGGUCUCCUUCAUCCCUGCUUCUCUCUCCACAUCACCACGGCCACCAUUUCUCCAAGACUAGAUUCUUCUGUUUCUCCUUGUCCCACACAUGGCCCAGCAUGGGCACCCCACCCCAAUGUACUGCAGCCUUCCUGUGAAAGCACCUUUCCUCAAUGGGCAAUGCCUGCCAGGCCACUGGUCAGCCACAGGGGUUGGCUCAGCUCAUGGGUCCUUCUCUUGCCCAGUCAGCUUUGGCCAGGGAGGAGACAGGCCAUUGAUGUCUACUUCCGCCUCACUUGACCUUCUCCUCUCUGCCUAUUCUGUUCUGUCCACCUCUCUACUCUGCAUGUCUGUCUCAAACCUCCCUCUGCCCCUCUGUUAAUAAGGACACCAUCAUUGGAUUUGGGGCCUACCCAGAUAAUCCAGGAUGAUCCCUUCCUCUCAAGCUCCUUAACUCAAUUAGCAAGUCCUUUCCUUAAGGGAAAUGUCAGAGGCACAUCUUCAUGUCUACAGUGAUAAUGAAUUAUUAGUAUCACAUACACACACAAACACUUAAAUUGUGAAAAAAAAUCAUCCUAUAGAAAAAUGGGGGGAAACCUUAACAGAAGAGGAAAUUUAGAGACAAAGCUUGGAUGACAAAUAACCAUUGAGAAACUGUUCAACCUAACAGGGAAAUGCAAAUUCAAACAAGUCAUGUCAUUUCACAUCCUGCUCCCCCAAGAUUUACAGAAAUUUGGAAGUCUGACAUUAGCAAGUGCUGCAGGAACAUAGAGAAAUGGGAACUCAGACUUUGCCAGAGUAAAUUGGCCAAGGGACUUUGGAAAGCAACUUUGCUUCCUAGUGAAGCCGACUCUGGCCCUUCCCUGUGAGCCUGCAAUUCCGCUCCUAACCCCAGCCCUAAGCGCUCAUAAGAAGAUGUGCACAAGGAAGUCCACUGCAGCAUUUUUAAUGGCAAAUUUGAAAACAGCCUAAAUGUCCAUCAAUAGGAGAGUGGAUGGAUAAAUUGUGCUGUUUUCACACAAUAAAAUACCGUGGAACAGUGAAGAUGAGCACACACAUCAGAUAUCACUAACAUGACAUUGAGACUAAGGAGGCAUACAGCUACAUACAACGUGGUGUCCUGAAGUCCCAGGAUCCUGGAACACAAAAAGGACAUGAGUGGAAACACUGGUGGAAUUUGAGCCAAAGUGUGACUUAGUUGAUGGGGAUGCACCAAUGUAAAUGUCUUAGUUUUGAUCAAUGGACUGUGGUUAUAUAAGAUGUUCAGACUAGGGGAAGCUGGUGAAGAGUGUCAGGGAACUUGGCAUCUGUGCAACUCUUCUGUGAAUUCAACAUUAUUUCAAGAGGAAAAGUAAAAACAAAAGCAAGUUACAGGCAAGUAUAUACAAUAUUAGACUGCUUGUAUUCAAGUGACGCUUAUGGAAAAUUGUUUCAUAUAUUGUUUAGGGAGAUAUAAGAAGUGAGCGCAUAAAGAGAGCUGAGGGCCAUGCUUCUCCCCACUGCGAGUGGGGUGGGGAAGGGUUGUGGGAGACUGGGGAGGGGGAAGAGGGAUGCAGGAGGGAUUUCCACUACCUUGAUACUGUUUUACUUCUUCAGCUGAGUAGGGGUGUGCCUAGGUGUUUAUUCUAUGACUCAUUACACUUUUGGUAUGCCUGACAUAUGUCAUGAUAAUUUUUUAGAAUCCUGUAAACCUUAUGUAGCCCCAACUGCUCAAUGCACAGGCAAAAUCAACUCAAGAAAUCGGCGUCAGAGAGGGGCUGGGAACGAGCCUCCAAGUUCCAGUUUGGAAUCUCUCUUCACCACAUGAAAUGCUUCCUGGGCGGGUUUUCUGGGUGCAGACAGGAGGUUAUAAGUACUCUAACAAGUUCGAGGGGCCCACUCCAGAAGGGCAGGUUCCAGCCACCCUGACUUGCCCAGGGCAGGGACACAGCCUCACUCCAGGCACAUGGCUCCUUGCCCCUCUCUCCCUGACUCGAGACCUUGCCCAGACCUAGCCCCAUGCCCAGGGUCUCCUGGCCCCUGAGUUGACUUUUGCUUCUAAACAAGGUGAAAAGGCAGUUGAUGUAGCAAGUGGGGGUGGCAGUGUUCCCUGAGGGGUUGAGUGGGUGGUCCGUGUAUGUGGGUGUGUGGUCACCGGGGCCCUGGCACUCAGAGAAGAUGCCUGCUGUGCCUGAAGAGGGAGUGUGAGGCACACUGAGGGGGCUUUGCAAACACUGAUGGUUUCUUCUCUUAUUAAAGUCAGGCAUCUCAUUAGGGCAAACCUGAGAAAUGCAGAAAAAGCAAAAAAUUUAAAAAUAAAAGAGAAAAACAACCACAUGCCCGCUUCCCCUGCCCCCCAUAACCACCACUUAUGCCCCGAGUUUUUCCUUUAUUUUUCUGAAGUGCAAUUACUAGGUCAAAGUGAAUGAAUAAUUAAAGACUCAAUGCAAAAUACCAAAGAUUUGACCUUUGGUAUAUAUAGAGAGAGGGAAAGACAGAGAGAGGAAUAGAACCUCCCUUCUCUAGUGAGGGGAAGGGGAUCAUUUUUAUAGCCCAGUUUUACUUCUUGUAAAAGUCCCAUGACACCAACAUUCAACAGCAUUCGAACUGAGUCACCUCACCCUGAAGCUCAUCAUUAAUUUCAACAUGAGAUCAUUUCUUCAGCCCUGCCAGUCUUCAUCU